rnacentral:rRNA from 2 species
UGCAGAAUCCCGUGAACCAUCGAGUCUUUGAACGCAAGUUGCGCCCGAAGCCAUUAGGCCGAGGGCACGCCUGCCUGGGUGUCACAC